rnacentral:lncRNA from 1 species
AUGGGGUGGGUAAAGAAAUGUGAUUUUGCUCCCUGCGGGCAGCCAGCAUUCUGUCCUGCAGGGCCCCAGGGAUCCAGGUGUCGGCUCCACCUCAGGGCUCCCAGCAGGUCCUCUAUUGAGGCAUCAGCAGCCGCGGGCGAAAACCAGGGCGCCAGGACGUCUGUGGCCACACCAGGCAGCCCAUCCCAGGGCAUCUGCGUGGCAGGGCCCCAUGCCCUUCCCGCUGGGCUCAGGCACCUGGAGCUGUCCGCAGGCCAGACCCAGCAGAGGAAUUUCGGGUUGCACAGUAAUUCCGUUUGCUGUUUGGAGAAUCGCUGCACCGAGGCACCGCCCCAGCUUCCCAUCCCCGUGGACCGCGUGUCCCUGUCUGGGCCUGGAGGAGCGGCUGUCUUCGCCGGCAUGUCCUCCUCAUUCCCACUGGGGUUCCUGUUUGCUUUGCUUUCUUUUCGGCGUGGAGUUGGCUAUGGGCAAAUGGGAGUGUGCCCAGAGGAAGAUCCUGGAACCAAACAGGUCUGCGCCCAGGUCCUGCCCGUGUGGCCCCCGGCGGUGGCCAGGAGGGACCUGAGAGUGAAAGGGCAACGUGGCGGCCACCUGCCCGUGGAUCCGGAAGCAGGGCUGUGUGGAUGCCUCCGACAGGGACACGCUCACAGGGGCGCACGGGGACGCGCUGGCCACGGUGCCGGCAGCGCCUCUUCCCUGCUCUCUGGUGGGGUCACCGUGGCGAGGGGGCAGCAACCCAGGGCGGUGCCCGAAGACGCCUGGGAGCUGGGCUUUCACCCGAGGCAGGAAGCGCCAGCUCCGCUGCUGGGAACCCGGGUGGCUAAGUGGCUUCCUCGCUGAAUAUUUCAUGAUUUACAUUAAUGGCUUUCUGGUGUUUUCAUAACAAAACCUUCCACAUUACGACGGGUUAAAAUGUGGCCAUUCCGGCCGCUCUCACUCUGAAGCCUGCCCCACGCCGCCCGUUCCUGCCGGUCUCUUCCCUAAGGUGUCCUCAGGGACAGCGUCACUCACUGGGUCCUUCAGCUGACACCGGCUGGGAAGGGGCUGGGCUCUGGGGGGACCCGGGACCCAGGCCACUCUGCACCGCUGGCACCUCCAGGAGCAGUGCUGCUGUUUUUAUGUCAGCUUAAGUCCAUGCUCUUCAGAUUUCCUUGGUUCUCACCUGACGUCCUCUCCCUGCCCCGGGACACACAUGACGUUCUCGUCCCCUCGGGCGGCUCUUGGCUGUGACUUCUUCUUGGAUCUUUCUGUCUUCAGUGACCUUGUUGUGUGGGCUGAGUCCAGGCAAGAGCCCCCGACCCCAUUCUCAGAGCGGCCAGGCUGGGCUCUGUCCCCUGUGAGCCUCAGGGCAGCCUGGGUAGUGGCCUGCAAGGACCAAGAGGUGACACUGCCUCCUUUCCUCGAGGGUCCGAGCUGAUCCGUGUCUGAGUGCAGCCCUCGCACGCCCUGGGGCUGCCGUCGGCUGGGACCCCACGAGGAGCCCACGUUCCCCACGCUCUCCAGAGGUCAUGUGCAGCCCCUCGUGGGGCGGGAGCGCGUGUCACUCAGGGUUUCCUCCCACAGGGGCUGGUCUGCUGUCCCCUCCGGCCUGCCGGGCCACGGCGGCGCAGCAGUGUGGACCCCAACUCUGCACGCUGGGGCUGGGGAGGGCUCGGGCUGGCUCUGGGCCCCUGUCUGGUUCCCCCCUGGGAAUUUUCCAAGCACAGGCUUAGGCUUUUUACAGUGGCGGAGGACACGCGGCAGGAGCGUCCACCACGCCGCCCUCUGCACACCGCAGCCCAUGUCCUGGACUUUGUGGCCGGAAGAGCUGUAGGGUCCGAAAGUCUGCAACCCUGGUCACAGAGGGCGGGGAGCGGGGCGGGGACCCAGCCGGGCGGGUGGCGCCUCUGGGAUCCUCGGAGACCCCAAGGCUGAGCUGGGUUUGGUGAGGCGCUGGCGUGGCGCCCCCUCAGGGCGAGGCCAGAGCUGCAGCUGCUCCUCCCCGCACUGCCCAGCGGCUCUGGGCCUGCGUCUCCCUUUCCUUUCUGCCUGCACCAGUCCGUGCUCCCGCGCAUGACUAGCAAUUUCCUCUGCAGGUGUGACACGUGCACCACACGUCUGCGUUUUUUAUGCCCCGCUUCUUUUCUCCUGCUCCCUUCUUCUCGUGGUCUCCUUGCCUCUUACAAAAGAUCGAUGUCCCUGUUUCCUGUUAUCUGUCUUUUAUUUUGCUCUUUAACUUAUUCCUACUCUGGGUUUCUCACCUGAGAGAAACCACACAAUAUUUAAGCUGAUUUAUUUAAGCUGAUUUAUUUCUCUUAACACUGAUCUCAAGGUGCAUCCAUUUCCCUGCAAAUGAGUCGAAUUUACCCUUCUUUAUGGCUGAGUAGUACUCCAUGGUGUAUAAACAUCACAUUUUCCUAGUAAUGAACCCAUAACCGUGAGUAAAGUGCCUUUCUGAGUGCUGCGAGUCAUUUAGCAAAUCAUGCAGCUGAGGAGCAGCUGUGAGAACUCCUGGUGCACGGCCCUGACUCGGGCAUCUCAUGGGGUCUAAGCCAGCUCAGCAGUUAGCAUCAGAGCUGAUCCCGGGUUUUUUUGUUGUUUUGUUUUUUGUUUUUUUUUGCAGUACUAGAGGUUGAACCCAGGACCUUCCUGUUGAACUAUCGCUGCAGGCUUUUUUUGAGACAGGGUUUUGCUAACUCUCUAAGGUGCCUGGGCUGGGCUUUAACUUACAGUCUGCCUGCCUCAGCCUCCCAGGGUGCUGAGAUCACAGGUAUGCCCCACCACACCAGUGCNNNNNNNNNNNNNNNNNNNNNNAUCGAAUCACGAAAUGUCCAGCUGGUGUUCAGGGAUAGCUGAGAUGUGGCUGGAAACCCACACCCGGGUGUCGGGCCAUGGCACCGUGAGCCCCCC